ACACAUUUUAGGAGUACAUGACAUUGGUGUAAACAAGAUUUCAUAAAAUAUGUUGAUAUUGCUUGACAUUUACUAUGCCCCACUUCAAAACGGACCUCAGAGGAAAAGUGAAGGAGUUUUGGUUAUGAAGGGGCGGGGCUGUUUUCACACCCCAAAACGUCACAGUUACGUUGCAGGAAACGAGUUUCUACAGCUACCCUCCCCCACAUCACACUCGCUGACCAUCAAUUAGGAAACGCGCGCUUUGCUACCUGCACAAAAGGAAGGCGUUGAGAAGAGUGAGCGUACGAGUCAGCAUCAUCGAGAAAACCCCAGAAAGUGACAAAUACUUCAGAAUUAAAGCAGAUGGACAAUCCCACUGAAGAUGGUGAUUAUUCUGACUCAAGUCUUUUUGGAUCAGAUGAGGAAUACAAACCAACUAAGACAUCCUCUGAGUCGAGUGAUGACGAGGAGAUAUUCCAUCCAAAGGUAGAAAAAUUGUUCUCUUAUGAUACAUCCAGUGAAGACUCUACAAGUCAUCAGACAUAUGAAGCAGAGGAGCACAGUCAUGUCUGCAAUUCGUAAAGAAGCCCCAAAAAGGGAAAAGCAUCUCUCCAAAAGAGGGAAGACUGAAUUGG